rnacentral:rRNA from 1 species
GGCGAACGCUGGCGGCGUGCUUAACACAUGCAAGUCGAACGGAAAGGCCCUGCUUUUGUGGGGUGCUCGAGUGGCGAACGGGUGAGUAACACGUGAGUAACCUGCCCUUGACUUUGGGAUAACUUCAGGAAACUGGGGCUAAUACCGGAUAGGAGCUCCUGCUGCAUGGUGGGGGUUGGAAAGUUUCGGCGGUUGGGGAUGGACUCGCGGCUUAUCAGCUUGUUGGUGGGGUAGUGGCUUACCAAGGCUUUGACGGGUAGCCGGCCUGAGAGGGUGACCGGCCACAUUGGGACUGAGAUACGGCCCAGACUCCUACGGGAGGCAGCAGUGGGGAAUAUUGCACAAUGGGCGGAAGCCUGAUGCAGUAACGCCGCGUGCGGGAUGACGGCCUUCGGGUUGUAAACCGCUUUCGCCUGUGACGAAGCGUGAGUGACGGUAAUGGGUAAAGAAGCACCGGCUAACUACGUG